rnacentral:rRNA from 1 species
UUUGAGAUUAGUGGAACGCUCUGGAAAGUGCGGCCAUAGUGGGUGAUAGCCCCGUACACGAAAAUCUCUUAUCAAUGAAAUCGAGUAGGACGGAGCACGAGAAACUUUGUCUGAAUAUGGGGGGACCAUCCUCCAAGGCUAAAUACUACUGACUGACCGAUAGUGAACCAGUACCGUGAGGGAAAGGCGAAAAGAACCCCGGAGAGGGGAGUGAAAUAGAACCUGAAACCGUAUGCGUACAAGCAGUGGGAGCCUACUUUGUUAGGUGACUGCGUACCUUUUGUAUAAUGGGUCAGCGACUUAUAUUCAGUGGCGAGCUUAACCGAAUAGGGGAGGCGUAGCGAAAGCGAGUCUUAAUAGGGCGUUUAGUCGCUGGGUAUAGACCCGAAACCGGGCGAUCUAUCCAUGGGCAGGUUGAAGGUUAGGUAACACUGACUGGAGGACCGAACCGACUACCGUUGAAAAGUUAGCGGAUGACCUGUGGAUCGGAGUGAAAGGCUAAUCAAGCUCGGAGAUAGCUGGUUCUCCUCGAAAGCUAUUUAGGUAGCGCCUCAUGUAUCACUGUAGGGGGUAGAGCACUGUUUCGGCUAGGGGGUCAUCCCGACUUACCAAACCGAUGCAAACUCCGAAUACCUACAAGUGCCGAGCAUGGGAGACACACGGCGGGUGCUAACGUCCGUCGUGAAAAGGGAAACAACCCAGACCGUCAGCUAAGGUCCCAAAGUCAUGGUUAAGUGGGAAACGAUGUGGGAAGGCUUAGACAGCUAGGAGGUUGGCUUAGAAGCAGCCACCCUUUAAAGAAAGCGUAAUAGCUCACUAGUCGAGUCGGCCUGCGCGGAAGAUGUAACGGGGCUCAAACCAUGCACCGAAGCUACGGGUAUCAUC